rnacentral:rRNA from 1 species
AAAGCUCAAAUUUGAAAUCUGGCUCUUUCAGAGUCCGAGUUGUAAUUUGAAGAAGGUAUCUUUGGGUCUGGCUCUUGUCUAUGUUUCUUGGAACAGAACGUCACAGAGGGUGAGAAUCCCGUGCGAUGAGAUGAUCCAGGCCUAUGUAAAGUUCCUUCGAAGAGUCGAGUUGUUUGGGAAUGCAGCUCUAAGUGGGUGGUAAAUUCCAUCUAAAGCUAAAUAUUGGCGAGAGACCGAUAGCGAACAAGUACAGUGAUGGAAAGAUGAAAAGAACUUUGAAAAGAGAGUGAAAAAGUACGUGAAAUUGUUGAAAGGGAAGGGCUUGAGAUCAGACUUGGUAUUUUGUAUGUUACUUCUUCGGGGGUGGCCUCUACAGUUUACCGGGCCAGCAUCAGUUUGGGCGGUAGGAGAAUUGCGUUGGAAUGUGGCACGACUUCGGUUGUGUGUUAUAGCCUUCGUAGAUACUGCCAGCCUAGACUGAGGACUGCG